AUUGAACGCUGGCGGCAGGCCUAACACAUGCAAGUCGAGCGGAUGAAGGGAGCUUGCUCCUGGAUUCAGCGGCGGACGGGUGAGCAAUGCCUAGGAAUCUGCCUGGUAGUGGGGGAUAACGUCCGGAAACGGGCGCUAAUACCGCAUACGUUCUGAGGGAGAAAGUGGGGGAUCUUCGGACCUCACGCUAUCAGAUGAGCCUAGGUCGGAUUAGCUAGUUGGUGGGGUAAAGGCCUACCAAGGCGACGAUCCGUAACUGGUCUGAGAGGAUGAUCAGUCACACUGGAACUGAGACACGGUCCAGACUCCUACGGGAGGCAGCAGUGGGGAAUAUUGGACAAUGGGCGAAAGCCUGAUCCAGCCAUGCCGCGUGUGUGAAGAAGGUCUUCGGAUUGUAAAGCACUUUAAGUUGGGAGGAAGGGCAGUAAGUUAAUACCUUGCUGUUUUGACGUUACCAACAGAAUAAGCACCGGCUAACUUCGUG
rnacentral:rRNA from 1 species